CAAUAGCGUAUAUUAAAGUUGUUGCGGUUAAAAAGCUCGUAGUUGGAUUUCUGCUGAGGACGACCGGUCCGCCCUCUGGGUGAGUAUCUGGCUCGGCCUUGGCAUCUUCUUGGGGAACGUAACUGCACUUGACUGUGUGGUGCGGUAUCCAGGACUUUUACUUUGAGGAAAUUAGAGUGUUUCAAGCAGGCGCACGCCUUGAAUACAUUAGCAUGGAAUAAUAAGAUAGGACCUUGGUUCUAUUUUGUUGGUUUCUAGAGCUGAGGUAAUGAUUAAUAGGGAUAGUUGGGGGCAUUCGUAUUUAACUGUCAGAGGUGGAAUUCUUGGAUUUGUUAAAGACGAACUACUGCGAAAGCAUUUGCCAAGGAUGUUUUCAUUGA
rnacentral:rRNA from 1 species